UUCCGUUCCUGUUCUCCUUCACUGUCUGCGUUGAAGCUACACUCUGCAGCAUGUGGCUCUCACAGGGCGUGAUGCUUCUAUAUCUAAAUAUGAAGUUUGCUGCAGACGAACCACCCUGAAAAGGCACUUUUCCUCAUGCGGAAUGAAGCUAAUCUUCCUACAACAGAUGCGAAGUCCAUCUUCGUAAUGAAAGGUUCACGUGGGUCCUCGUUGACACUCUGAAAAUGAGGAGGCCUGGUGAAAGAUGAGGGUCCUCAUUGAGACUGGCUGAAAAUGAUGCGGGCCUGUUGAAAGGUCCUGGUCAGUAAUGACAGACUAUGACGUCCCUCUGGUGCUGAGAAAAGAUGCUCAGGUUCAUUUGGGUCCUCGUUGACACUCUGACAAUGAGGAGGCCUGGUGAAAGGUUCGUUAGGGUCCUCGUUGAGACUGGCUGAAAAUGAUGCGGGCCUGGUGAAAGGUCCUGAUCAGUAAUUAAAGACUAUGACGUCCCUUUGGUGCUGAGAAAAGUUCACGUGGGUCCUCGUUGACACUCUGAAAAUGAGGAGGCCUGGUGAAAGGUUCAUGUGGGUCCUCGUUGACACUCUGACAAUGAGGAGGCCUGGUGAAAGGUUCUUGAGGGUCCUCGUUGGGUCGGUGGAAAAUGAUGCGGGCCUGGUGAAAGGUCCUGAUCAGUAAUGAAAGCCUGUGACGUCCCUCUGGUGCUGAGAAAAGUUGCUCAGGUAAUUUCAAGUGCUAAUGUUGACUUAAAGUCAAGCCGGUGAUGAAAAAAGUUGUCCCUGUCUGAACAUAAGUGUGGACCUAUUGCUUGACUGCAGAAACAGUUUGCUAACUGUCGUAGUUGGUUUUAAAUGUUUUUGUUUCCUUGCAGAACAAAUGGAGAAACCGAUUGGAUUGAUCCAGAAGUCAGACUCUGCAGUAGAAUUGUUGGUGUACAAAUUAAAAACAAUGUUUGCUCUAAAAUGUGUUUAAUAAAAUUGUUUGUACAAAACAUUUAAGUACAAUGGCACAUCGAAAGUAACAUGACUCUUACUGGGAGCAACCACCAUGCAUUGGUCAAUCUGUGUUGAAGGUCGAUCUGUAAGAUUUCUUCUUUAAAUUCUCCAAGAACACUUGCUCUUCUUGGAGGUAUUCACGGUCCUGGUGAGGAGGUGGAGAAACUCAAUGUUAAAAUGUACAUGUGACUGUGAGCCACUGUGGCAUUUUGUUCCUAUUGACAUUAAAAAACCUCAAUAUCAA